rnacentral:tRNA from 1 species
AGAGUGGUAGUAUAAGAGUAUCCAUAGUUUCGGCCUAUGAGGUAGACGUGUGUCUUCAUUCUU